GAUAAGCCUGGGAAACUGGGUCUAAUACCGGAUACGAGCUUCCACCGCAUGGCGGGAGCUGGAAAGGGUCUCCGGUCGGGGAUGGGCCCGCGGCCUAUCAGCUUGUUGGCGGGGUCACGGCCCACCAAGGCGACGACGGGUAGCCGGCCUGAGAGGGUGGACGGCCACACUGGGACUGAGACACGGCCCAGACUCCUACGGGAGGCAGCAGUAGGGAAUCUUGUCCAAUGGGCGCAAGCCUGAGACAGCGACGCCGCGUGCGGGACGAAGGCCUUCGGGUUGUAAACCGCUUUCAGCAGGGACGAAGCGAAAGUGACGGUACCUGCAGAAGAAGGUCCGGCCAACUACGUGCCAGCAGCCGCGGUAAUACGUAGGGACCGAGCGUUGUCCGGAUUCAUUGGGCGUAAAGAGCUCGUAGGCGGCCACUCAAGUCGAACGUGAAAACUCGGGGCUCAACCCCGAGCCCGCGUUCGAUACUGGGCGGCUAGAGUCUGGUAGGGGGAUCUGGAAUUCCUGGUGUAGCGGUGGAAUGCGCAGAUAUCAGGAGGAACACCGGUGGCGAAGGCGGGAUCCUGGGCCAGUACUGACGCUGAGGAGCG
rnacentral:rRNA from 1 species